CUGUUAUCAUAAAUCUUAAUUACUACACUGAGAUAAAAAUUGUGUGUGCAUGCAAAAAAAAUAAAAAACAAUUAUUGCUCUUGGGGACCCUCUUGUAGCCCUUGGAUCUUAAGCAGAUGCUAAGUUUGCUUCUGCCUCGGGCCGGCACUGAAUAUGCAGAUUCCAAUGACAACAGCCCCAUUUCCACACAAUUCUGACUUAACAUUGUUUCCCCUGCUCUUUUAUGUCUCAUGUCGCCUUUGGUGUGUCCAUUUUAAAUCUAGAGUUGGUGUGAUGGUUGCUGAUUUACAGCUGAACAGCUGUUUUUACUAUUUGAAAUCACAUUACAAGUCUUUUACUGUGACACUGUUUGCCCUACCUUAGCGGCAAGGGGCGUUGCUCAUGAGAUGGUGACGUCACGUGCGCGGUACGCCAUUGCAGAGCGCUCAAAGAAAAACAUAUUUUCCCUCCUCUUUUUCAAAGCUGUUAUCCAAUUAACGACCUUACUGAACGUUUCCACCAAUAGGGUGUCGCGCUGCUAAGCUGUGCGCAGCUUGCUCGUUUGCCCGGAAGAAGAGACAGCCGCCAUCAUUUCACCACCACGCAGCUUCUGACCUCAUGCCACCGCCGUUGCGCCGCAAAAAUAUUUUAGUUUUCUGACGUUUUCUUCCCCUGGACUGCCUAAAACAAAUACGUGAGGGUACUGAUCCAAAUGUGUGUGGACCACGGCGUACCAGAGAAAACUACAACUCUGCUGUGAACCAUCUGCUAAUCAACAAUACAACAGACGUUGAUGGAGUAAAGUUUGGGUGGUGACACAGCUAAGACCUGCAUAUCUUUUCAAGAAAGUUGGUGUUCCUGACAUUUUCAAACCCCCAAGUUUAAACAACGUCAAGAAAUUAAUUCUCAAGGACUUCAGCAUUCUGUGUUGUUGUGAACAUCAUCAGAAUGAAGAGAAUGAGAAGCAAACCAGUGUCAAGAAGAUUACCCACUAAAGACGGAAUCAAACCUUGGCAGGACAUUUUGCGGGCGGAUCCUCUCGGCCCAAGGUGAAAACUCGAUGGACAGUAAUUUGACUUCUCCAGCAGAACUUCUCUCUUUUGGUGCCAUGUACACUUAGAACCUGAUCUGUCUGAGGGCCAUCUUCAACCAAGUCCAGACUCAGUGACUUAUUACUCCUGUUCAGUGAGGGGCAAGUGACUAGUUUUCAAGUUUUUGUUCAACCAUUACCAGUGAUAUGCUACAUUGUCAAGGUUUAUAGUGAUUUGUGAUCCUGCAGACAAUAUGAUCUGUACUGUCUUCUUUCCCAGAUGUUAUUUAUAAUUGUCUCAUUGAUUUUCAGUGAUAAUCAGUACCUUGAUUAAAUUUGUGCAUCUUUAAGUUGCCAAUGUAAAAUUUACACCAAAAUAACGUAUGUUGCACAUGUACUGUAUUUUUAGCGGUAAAAUACCGGCAGCUGUGGUUGCCAGGAAUUUACCGUGAAAUUUAACUGGUCGAAAUAAAAAUGUUUUACAAUUUUUACCGUGUUUUUUAUUGACACAGCCUGUAAAAAGGUU